rnacentral:rRNA from 1 species
UGGGGAAUAUUGCACAAUGGGCGAAAGCCUGAUGCAGCAACGCCGCGUGAGUGAUGAAGGCCUUCGGGUUGUAAAGCUCUGUCUUUUGGGACGAUAAUGACGGUACCAAAGGAGGAAGCCACGGCUAACUACGUGCCAGCAGCCGCGGUAAUACGUAGGUGGCAAGCGUUGUCCGGAUUUUACUGGGCGUAAAGGAUGCGUAGGCGGAUUUUUAAGUGAGAUGUGAAAUACCCGGGCUUAACUUGGGUGCUGCAUUUCAAACUGGGAAUCUAGAGUGCGGGAGAGGAGAAUGGAAUUCCUAGUGUAGCGGUGAAAUGCGUAGAGAUUAGGAAGAACACCAGUGGCGAAGGCGAUUCUCUGGACCGUAACUGACGCUGAGGCAUGAAAGCGUGGGUAGCAAACAGGAUUAGAUACCCUGGUAGUCCACGCCGUAAACGAUGAGUACUAGGUGUAGGAGGUAUCGACCCCUUCUGUGCCGCAGUUAACACAAUAAGUACUCCGCCUGGGAAGUACGAUCGCAAGAUUAAAACUCAAAUGAAUUGACGGGGGUCAUAGCUGUUUUUCCU